GUGGGGAAUAUUGGACAAUGGGGGCAACCCUGAUCCAGCCAUGCCGCGUGAGUGAUGAAGGCCUUAGGGUUGUAAAGCUCUUUCGGCGGGGACGAUAAUGACGGUACCCGCAGAAGAAGCCCCGGCUAACUUCGUGCCAGCAGCCGCGGUAAUACGAAGGGGGCUAGCGUUGCUCGGAAUCACUGGGCGUAAAGCGCACGUAGGCGGAUCUUUAAGUCAGGGGUGAAAUCCCAAGGCUCAACCUUGGAACUGCCUUUGAUACUGGGGAUCUCGAGUCCGGAAGAGGUGAGUGGAACUGCGAGUGUAGAGGUGAAAUUCGUAGAUAUUCGCAAGAACACCAGUGGCGAAGGCGGCUCACUGGUCCGGUACUGACGCUGAGGUGCGAAAGCGUGGGGAGCAAACAGGAUUAGAAACCCCGGUAGUCC
rnacentral:rRNA from 1 species